GUGCUGGCUUUGGCAGCACAUGUACUAAAACUGGAACAAUAGAAGAUUAGCAUGGCCCCUGGGCAAGGAUGGCACUCAAAUUCGUGAAGCAUUCCAUAUGAAA
ensembl:snRNA U6 U6 spliceosomal RNA